rnacentral:misc_RNA from 1 species
AAGUCGUAACAAGGUUUCCGUAGGUGAACCUGCGGAAGGAUCAUUAACGAGUUCUUGAGACGGGGUUGUAGCUGGGUCCUUCGGGGCCAGAGUGCUCGCCUCGCUCAAAUCCACUCUCAAACACCUGUGCACUUCUUUUUGAGGGACCUUUGGUGCGGAUCCCCCUCCUUCGGGGGGAGGAGACGCCCUCGGUCGUUCGAAAACCCUUUACACAAAAAACCCCCUUUGUAUUUUGAUUGUAUGUAAACUUUGACAUAAUGUAAACACAACUUUCAACAACGGAUCUCUUGGCUCUC